UACGGAGGAUGCAAGCGUUAUCCGGAAUGAUUGGGCGUAAAGCGUCCGCAGGUGGCUGUGUAAGUCUGCUGUCAAAGAGCAAAGCUCAACUUUGUAAAGGCAGUGGAAACUACACGGCUAGAGUGCGUUCGGGGCAGAGGGAAUUCCUGGUGUAGCGGUGAAAUGCGUAGAGAUCAGGAAGAACACCGGUGGCGAAGGCGGGUUGCUGGGCUGGCACUGACGCUGAGGCGCGAAAGCUAGGGGAGCGAACGGG
rnacentral:rRNA from 1 species